UGCAGUCGACGAUGAAGCCCUUCGGGGUGGAUUAGUGGCGAACGGGUGAGGAMCACKUGAAGAAUCUGCCCUCCACUUUGGGAUAACUCCGGGAAACCGGGGCUAAUACCGAAUAUUGAAACAUAAGCGGCAUCGCUGARUUUUGAAAGAAUUUYKGKGKGRAKRASKWCUYSSCGRYCWAUCAGCUUGKWGGUGKGGUWAUGGCUCACCAARGCGACGACGGGUAGCCGGCCUGAGAGGGCGACCGGCCACACUGGGACUGAGACACGGCCCAGACUCCUACGGGAGGCAGCAGUGGGGAAUAUUGGGCAAUGGACGCAAGUCUGACCCAGCGACGCCGCGUGCGGGAUGAAGGCCUUCGGGUUGUAAACCGCUUUCAGCAGGGAAGAAGCGAAAGUGACGGUACCUGCAAAAGAAGCACCGGCUAACUAUGUGCCAGCAGCCGCGGUAAUACAUAGGGUGCAAGCGUUGUCCGGAAUUAUUGGGCGUAAAGAGCUCGUAGGUGGUUAGUUACGUCGGGUGUGAAAAUCUGGGGCUCAACCCCAGACCUGCACUCGAUACGGGCUAGCUAGAGUUUGGUAGGGGAGACUGGAAUUCCUGGUGUAGCGGUGGAAUGCGCAKAUAUCACGAGGAACACCAAUGGCGAAGGCAGGUCUCUGGGCCAAUACUGACACUGAGGAGCGAAAGCGUGGGGAGCGAACAGGAUUAGAUACCCUGGUAGUCCA
rnacentral:rRNA from 1 species